GACGAACGCUGGCGGCGUGCUUAACACAUGCAAGUCGAACGGAAAGGCCCUGCUUUUGUGGGGUGCUCGAGUGGCGAACGGGUGAGUAACACGUGAGUAACCUGCCCUUGACUUUGGGAUAACUUCAGGAAACUGGGGCUAAUACCGGAUAGGAGCUCCUGCUGCAUGGUGGGGGUUGGAAAGUUUCGGCGGUUGGGGAUGGACUCGCGGCUUAUCAGCUUGUUGGUGGGGUAGUGGCUUACCAAGGCUUUGACGGGUAGCCGGCCUGAGAGGGUGACCGGCCACAUUGGGACUGAGAUACGGCCCAGACUCCUACGGGAGGCAGCAGUGAGGAAUAGUGCAAAAUGGGCGGAAGCCUGAUGCAGCAACGCCGCGUGCGGGAUGACGGCCUUCGGGUUGUAAACCGCUUUCGCCUGUGACGAAGCGUGAGUGACGGUAAUGGGUAAAGAAGCACCGGCUAACUACGUG
rnacentral:rRNA from 1 species